rnacentral:sRNA from 1 species
UGAUAAACUUUACUGUGGACCCUCGACU